UGCCAGCACUGCCCUGCUCACAGCCACCCUGGUGCCACCAGGGCCAAGCUGGCAGCCAGCAGUGCUGCUGGCACUGUGGGAACACCUAAACCAGGGAUCAGUCCUGCUGUGCUCAGGAUGGAGCCUGGGAGCUCCUGGGAGCGUAUUGAUCCCUUCAGAGCUGCGCAGGUGGGAUUGCAGGAGCUGGGCUUAGCUUGGACACCACCAAUUCCAGCUCCAGGGUUGGAAGUGAAUUCAUCACCAUCAAUUCAUCACCCUGAAUUCAUCACCAUCAAUUCAUCACCAUCAAUUCAUCACCAUCAAUUCAUCACCAUCAAUUUCAACUCCAGGGUUGGAAGUGAAUUCAUCACCAUCAAUUCAUCACCAUGAAUUCAUCACCAUCAAUUCCAGCUCCAGGGCUGAAAGUGAAUUCAUCACCAUGAAUUCAUCACCAUCAAUUCCAGCUCCAGGGCUGAAAGUGAAUUCAUCACCAUGAAUUCAUCACCAUGAAUUCAUCACCAUCAAUUUCAGCUCCAGGGUUGAAAUUGAAUUCAUCACCAUCAAUUCAUCACCAUCAAUUCAUCACCAUCAAUUUCAGCUCCAGGAUUGAAAGUGAAUUCAUCACCAUCAAUUCAUCACCAUCAAUUCAUCACCAUCAAUUUCAGUUCCAGGGUUGGAACUGAAUUCAUCACCCUGAAUUCAUCACCAUCAAUUCAUCACCAUCAAUUCCAGCUCCAGGGCUGAAAGUGAAUUCAUCACCAUGAAUUCUUCACCAUCAAUUUCAGCUCCAGGGUUGUUCUUCCCUGGAAAGGGCUCCCUGAGCUGUGCAGGGGAUAAAAGCCACACCCCAGAUGACCUCAGCGCAGCUCUGCAGCAUCACAAUUCCAGCCUCACGCCCUGUGUCUCGCAGAGCACAGAAUGAAGGGCAGUAAAUGAAUGGAAGGAGCCUUGGAGGUGCUUUUUGCUGCUGUGUAAUUGGAGCCUCUCCUCUCGGUGCCGAUUCCUCCGGGGUCUCUAUGGAAACCAGGAGAUGAUCUGCUGCACGUGACCCCGAGCCUCCACAGACUCCAGAUGGCCACCAUUGUCCCCACUGUCCUGUGCCUGCCUUGGUUUUGGUUGCCAGGCAACUGGCUCUGCCAUUCUGACUUCUUUGGCACGGCUUUGGCCAGCUCAGGCUGGCUGGGUCACCCCAGCUCCUGCACCAGACAGUCCCAUUGAAAUGGGACUGAAAAAGCCACUAAACACCACAUUUUUCAUCAGAGUUUGUGUACCCUGCCAUUAGCAAAGCUCCAAGUGGCUGAAGGCUGCAAAUCUGUCCUGAGGAAGGGAAGGGAGACUUCACAAGAAUCCUGGGGCCAGAAAAUUCAUGGAUCUGCAACAGAGCUUCCAGCAGUGCUCCAUGAAGAGUCCAUCAAGAGCUGGGAAAAGCCAAAUAUUCCUGGCCAAAGAGGCAGAGUCACACCUGCACACAAAAAUGCUGGCACAUAAAAUAAAGAAAACAAGGAAAUUGUUGGA